rnacentral:rRNA from 1 species
AUUGAACGCUGGCGGCAGGCCCAACACCUGCAAGUCGAACGAGUGGCGGAAGGUUGAGUAAUGUCUGGUAAACUGCCUGAUGGAGGGGGAUCACUACUGGAAAAGGUAGCUAAUACCGCAUACCAUCGGAUGUGCCCAGAUGGGAUUAGCUAGUAGGUGGGGUAAAGGCUCACCUAGGAGACGAUCCCUAGCUGGUCUGAGAGGAUGACCAGCCACACUGGAACUGAGACACGGUCCAGAAUCCUACUGGAGGCAGCAGUGGGGAAUAUUGCACAAUGGGCGCAAGCCUGAUGCAGCCAGGCCGCGUGUAUGAAGAAGGCCUUCGGGUUGUAAAGUACUUUCAGCGGGGAGGCGUUACCCGCAGAAGAAGCACCGGCUAACUCCGUGCCAGCAGCCGCGGUAAUUC